GGCCAGCAUGGUGUAGUGGUUAGAGCAUUCGACUACAGCUCUGGAGACCAGGGUUUGAAUCCUUGCUUGGCCA